rnacentral:rRNA from 1 species
GAACGCUGAAGCCAGAAGCUUGCUUCUGGUGGAUGAGUGGCGAACGGUGUGAGUAACACGUGAGUAACCUGCCCCCGAUUUCGGGAUAAGCCCGGGAAACUGGGUCUAAUACCGGAUAUGACCAACCCUCGCAUGAGGGUUGGUGGAAAGUUUUUCGAUCGGGGAUGGGCUCGCGGCCUAUCAGCUUGUUGGUGGGGUAAUGGCCUACCAAGGCGACGACGGGUAGCCGGCCUGAGAGGGCGACCGGCCACACUGGGACUGAGACACGGCCCAGACUCCUACGGGAGGCAGCAGUGGGGAAUAUUGCACAAUGGGGGAAACCCUGAUGCAGCGACGCAGCGUGCGGGAUGACGGCCUUCGGGUUGUAAACCGCUUUCAGCAGGGAAGAAGCCGUAAGGUGACGGUACCUGCAGAAGAAGUACCGGCUAACUACGUGCCAGCAGCCGCGGUAAUACGUAGGGUACGAGCGUUGUCCGGAAUUAUUGGGCGUAAAGAGCUCGUAGGUGGUUGGUCACGUCUGCUGUGGAAACGCAACGCUUAACGUUGCGCGUGCAGUGGGUACGGGCUGACUAGAGUGCAGUAGGGGAGUCUGGAAUUCCUGGUGUAGCGGUGAAAUGCGCAGAUAUCAGGAGGAA